rnacentral:tRNA from 1 species
UGCGGGGUCGUCUAAUGGUAGGACCGCGGACUUUGACUCCGUGUAUCUAGGUUCGAAUCCUAGCCCCGCAG